GAUGAACGCUGGCGGCGUGCUUAACACAUGCAAGUCGAACGGAAAGGCUCCUGCUUGCAGGGGUACUCGAGUGGCGAACGGGUGAGUAACACGUGGGUGAUCUGCCCUGCACUUCGGGAUAAGCCUGGGAAACUGGGUCUAAUACCGGAUAGGACCACAUUUUAGAUGGUGUGGUGGAAAGUUUUUCGGUGUGGGAUGAGCUCGCGGCCUAUCAGCUUGUUGGUGGGGUAAUGGCCUACCAAGGCGUCGACGGGUAGCCGGCCUGAGAGGGUGUACGGCCACAUUGGGACUGAGAUACGGCCCAGACUCCUACGGGAGGCAGCAGUGGGGAAUAUUGCACAAUGGGCGCAAGCCUGAUGCAGCGACGCCGCGUGGGGGAUGACGGCCUUCGGGUUGUAAACUCCUUUCGCUAGGGACGAAGCGUUUUUGUGACGGUACCUGGAGAAGAAGCACCGGCUAACUACGUG
rnacentral:rRNA from 1 species